AGGUCUUUGCCUGCCCAGUGACAAGUUAAACGGCCGCGGUAUUUUGACCGUGCGAAGGUAGCGCAAUCACUUGUCUUUUAAAUGAAGACCUGUAUGAAUGGCGGAACGAGGGCUUAACUGUCUCCCCUUUCAAGUCAAUGAAAUUGAUCUGCCCGUGCAGAAGCGGGUAUAUAAAUACAAGACGAGAAGACCCUUUGGAGCUUAAGAUAUAAGAUCAACUACGUCAAGGGCACAAACCAAACUAAGUAGCACCUGAUAAAUAUCUUCGGUUGGGGCGACCACGGGAGAAAAUAAAGCUCCCAUGCGGACUGGGGCUACACCCUAAAACCAAGAAAGACAUUUCUAAGUCACAGAACAUCUGACCAUAAAGAUCCGGCCACCCGCCGAUCAACGGACCAAGUUACCCUAGGGAUAACAGCGCAAUCCCCUUUCAGAGUCCAUAUCGACAAGGGGGUUUACGACCUCGAUGUUGGAUCAGGACAUCCUAUUGGUGCAGCCGCUAUUAAGGGUUCGUUUGUUCAACGAUUAAAGUCCUACGUGAUCU
rnacentral:rRNA from 1 species